rnacentral:rRNA from 1 species
AUACGUAGGGGGCUAGCGUUACCCGGAAUCACUGGGCGUAAAGAGAGCGUAGGCGGCUUGGUAAGUCUCUUGUGAAAGCUCCCGGCUUAACUGGGAGAGGUCAAGGGAUACUACCUGGCUUGAGGGCAGCAGAGGUAAGCGGAAUUCCCGGUGUAGCGGGGAAAUGCGUAGAUAUCGGGAGGAACACCAGUGGCGAAAGCGGCUUACUGGGCUGUGCCUGACGCUGAGGCUCGAGAGCGUGGGGAGCAAACAGGAUUAGAAACCCCGGUAGUCC